rnacentral:rRNA from 1 species
CCUACACGACCGUACCGCAAACCGACACUGGUGCGCGAGAUGAGUAUUCUAAGGCGCUUGAGAGAACUCAGGAGAAGGAACUCGGCAAAUUGACACCGUAACUUCGGAAGAAGGUGUGCCUUUAGUAGGUGAACCUGUACAAGGGGAGCCCAAUGAGGUUGCAAAAAAUCGGUGGCUGCGACUGUUUAAUAAAAACACAGCACUCUGCAAACACGAAAGUGGACGUAUAGGGUGUGACGCCUGCCCGGUGCUGGAAGAUUAAAUGAUGGGGUGCAAGCUCUUGAUUGAAGUCCCAGUAAACGGCGGCCGUAACUAUAACGGUCCUAAGGUAGCGAAAUUCCUUGUCGGGUAAGUUCCGACCUGCACGAAUGGCGUAACGAUGGCCACACUGUCUCCUCCUGAGACUCAGCGAAGUUGAAAUGUUUGUGAUGAUGCAAUCUCCCCGCGGAAAGACGGAAAGACCCCAUGAACCUUUACUGUAGCUUUGUAUUGGACUUUGAACAGAUCUGUGUAGGAUAGGUGGGAGGCUUUGAAGUGUGGUCGCUAGAUCGCAUGGAGCCAACGUUGAAAUACCACCCUGGUGUGUUUGAGGUUCUAACCUAGGCCCGUAAUCCGGGUCGGGGACAGUGCAUGGUAGGCAGUUUGACUGGGGCGGUCUCCUCCCAAAGCGUAACAGAGGAGUUCGAAGGUACGCUAGGUACGGUCGGACAUCGUGCUAAUAGUGCAAUGGCAUAAGCGUGCUUAACUGCGAGACUGACAAGUCGAGCAGAUGCGAAAGCAGGACAUAGUGAUCCGGUGGUUCUGUAUGGAAGGGCCAUCGCUCAACGGAUAAAAGGUACUCUGGGGAUAACAGGCUGAUACCGCCCAAGAGUUCAUAUCGACGGCGGUGUUUGGCACCUCGAUGUCGGCUCAUCUCAUCCUGGGGCUGUAGCCGGUCCCAAGGGUAUGGCUGUUCGCCAUUUAAAGAGGUACGUGAGCUGGGUUUAAAACGUCGUGAGACAGUUUGGUCCCUAUCUUCCGUGGGCGCUGCAGAUUUGAGGAAGCCUGCUCCUAGUACGAGAGGACCGGAGUGGACACACCUCUGGUGUAUCGGUUGUCACGCCAGUGGCAUUGCCGAGUAGCUAUGUGUGGAAGAGAUAACCGCUGAAAGCAUCUAAGCGGGAAACUCGUUUCAAGAUGAGAUCUGCCGGGGCCUUGAGCCCCCUAAAGAGUCGUUCAAGACCAGGACGUUGAUAGGUCGGGUGUGGAAGCGCAGUAAUGCGUUAAGCUAACCGAUACUAAUUGCUCGUGCGGCUUGAUCA